UACAGAGGUCCCAAGCGUUGUUCGGAUUCAUUGGGCGUAAAGGGUGCGUAGGCGGCGCGGUAAGUCGGGUGUGAAAUCUCGGGGCUUAACUCCGAAACUGCAUUCGAUACUGCCGUGCUUGAGGACUGGAGAGGAGACUGGAAUUUACGGUGUAGCGGUGAAAUGCGUAGAUAUCGUAAGGAAGACCAGUGGCGAAGGCGGGUCUCUGGGACGUGACUGACGCUGAGACGCGAAAGCGUGGGGAGCAAACAGG
rnacentral:rRNA from 1 species